GCUGCCUGGGUACCCAGUGAAGAAAGAAAGGUCCAAGGAAUUUUACAAUGGUCUUCCUCCCCGCCUUGCCCCGGGGCUUGAGUUCCUGCUGCCUGUGCCCUCGGCUCAGUUGUCCCUCCAGUCGGUGGCCCACAAGAGCCCUGGUAUUAGAACCCUAGAGGGGAAGUUGGUCUGUAGACACCGGGGCCUGGUUGCUCAGAGCUGAGGCACCUCACGGAGCGGACGUCCUGUGUCAGCAGCCUCUCUGCGCCCAAGAUCCAAGAUGGCCUGGCCCAUGCUCUGGCCCCAGACAUGAGUUUGAGCAAAUUCCGGGAGAUGGUGAAGGACAUUUUGGCUGCGCUGGGUCUUCGUUGCAGUAUGUGGGCUCUUGGCCGCAACAGGCUUCUCCAGCUAUGCUGCACACAGCCUCCUCUGGUUGAGAUGCACAAACUCUGCAGCGUUCAGGCUCACUAGUUGUGGCACCCAGGCUUAGUUGCUCCAAGGCUCGUGGAACCUUAGCUCCCCUACCAGAGACAGAACCUGAGUCUCCUACAUUGGGAGGCGGAUUCUUUACCACUGGACCACCAGAUAUGCCAUGGCAGUCGCUACACUCAACACAAACCUGAGGAGAAAAGGGCAAAGGGAGAAGAUGAAAGAAGAUAAGCGUUGGGGCAGAUGGAAUUUGAAAUGCUGUCAGUGGUGUGAACUUCCAAU
ensembl:lncRNA